GGGAGGGAUGGGGGUGUGGUAUAUGUGUGUGUUGGGGGGGGUGAGCCAACCCCAGCUAAUGGCUAGGGCCAGCUUUUCCAAGGUGCGCAUUCAGAUUUGAAGGUGCCUCUCCCCCCUUCUCGUUUCCUUCCUCUUAGAGAAAGAGAGAUACCUGAGCCAACAGGUCAACUCAGGUUACCUCAACAGGUAUAAGACCCCCGAGGUGGUUGAAGGCCAACAAGAGAGAGCAGGUCCCCUAACCCCCAAAGGUGGGCUCCCCAGGGGGUCCUUAAGGCUGGGGACUCUGAGGAGGAACAAGCACAUGAUAUGCCCCAAACACUUCACGCAUCAGAGCCCUCUAUGUCUCUUGCCCCUCCCCAGGGUUGAAAGCUACCCUUUCUUUCCUAGAUCCUUGAGAAUCUCUUGCCUGCCUGCUGUGGGUAAUGGAGAGGGCAGGGGGCACCCCAUAUACCCAGUUAGGGCUGCACUGCCCCUUCAGACACCAGCUCCUGUCUGAGGCAGGAAGCCCAAGCCAUGUCACGAGCUUGCCUGGAGGCUCUGAGAGCAAAGCUGCUUGUGGAGACAGAGAAGGAGAGGGCAGCUGGUGGGUCCCUGGCUUCUGGCUGGCCUGAUCCAGGAGCUUUCUUCUCAGGAGACUACUUGCAUCUGGGUUGGGGGAGAAUAGAGCAGGCCUCUUCCUUGUCCCCACAUACCCUAACCCCAUAGGAAAUGCCAGUUCGGGGACUAUAGUGUCCCGCUGGCUUCACUGCACCCCCCACUUCCCCAGGCAGGCUGCCCAGGCCAGGAUGUGGAUGGGAACUGUCAACAGACACUCUUUAAAUAUUUACCCACACUUCUCUGGGCUUUUUUACCCCAUCCCCAAGGCUGGGUAAAUUCAAGUUAAUUCUAAUGGAUAAAAGAACCUUAUUCCAUCAGCACCUUUCUCUGGCCAUAAAUGUCUACAGUUAUGUGGACUUAACACAGAGAGAAAAGGGAGAAAGUCAGAGAGCUGUGGCCAUGUGUGCUGUGUGCAGAUGAAUGAAGAAGAUGAAUAAGAAUGAUUUUUCUGGUUCUCCUCCUCCACAGUGUGUGAGGUUGUUACACACAGGCAACACGGGGACACACUCGGGAUACACACGUACUGUAUGUGCUACCUUUCACCCCCCAAAACAUCAAAUGCAUGCUCACUAAACUAUCGUGCAUGCCAGGAAGUACCCCUGUCACCUCACAGACACUGUGCACACACGUGCACAUCUAUGCACAUAUGAAAACAAGACCUGAUAAACAUACACACAUCUUUAGCUCUUUGCAUCAUGAAAACAAAAAUGUGCUACCUCUUUUCUUUCCACAUCCUGGGGUUUCAGGGUUGGACGCGGAAAGGAAGCAGUUAGAAAACCAGAUCUUUUUCUUCCCUAUCCAGAGCCCAGCUCUGGGGAUGGAGGAAGAAAUGAAAGUGCUGGGAGGAUGGUGUAGAGAGAAUGAGACCCUCCCUCUCUCUAUUAACUAAAUAUUGCUGGGGAAAUAGCCACUCUCAGCCAAAUUCCCACUGGAGAGUCACUGGUGCUGCCAGCCAGAGAAGGCUUGUAGGAUCCCCUGAAUUUGGGAAGAACCCACCUCAAUCUGAGUUAGGGACCUACCAAACUCUGCGACACCCAGUACUCUGGCCCUGGAGCAGCAGGAGGGGAGGGUCAGCGGAGGGCUGUGCCAGGGCUGCAGUCCUCCCCAGGGUCCAGGACAGUGGAAGGCAUGACAGAGUUCUCCUCCACUACCAGAGCAUGCUCCCGACUUGGCUCCAGCCCUGCCUUCUCUGAGCCUGUUCUGCGGGUACUAAGCAGAAGGAGAGACAGACUCUGGGCACCCAGCAUCUAGGUCACUGGGGACUGUCAUAAAUGCUUUCCCUUCCCCUCCUGGAAAAAGGAGGCUGGGCAGGAGGGAUCCACUCUGGGGCCUGCGCCUUAUCUUUUAGGGGGUGGGGGGUAUCUCGACAUUUUAUGGUCCAGCGAAAACCCUGCCACAGAGCUAUUCUUCUGGGCCUUUGUGUCUUGGAAUGCGACUGUCCCGAGUGUGCCACCAGCACCGCCUGCUCUGAGAGCCCCUCAGUCCCGAAAUCCCUGGUUGGACUUGGUUUUCCCUUUGGGGGUGGUGUCCCUCUCCUUCUCUUUCUUUCGUUCACUUGAUUGUUUUUUCUUUUACACGUUUCUGGUUGAUUUCGCUCCCGGAGCCUGGAAAUAAAGGAACCGCAAGCAGCCAUCCUUGCUGGGACGUCUCUGUCCCUCGCCCCGAGGCCUGCACCGCCCUCCUAGCGAUUAUUUUCGACGCCCGCCCUCCUGAGCCUCCCGAGUCUGCUGCCAGAGCGAGGGCCCAUCUCCCGCCGCCACUCGCGAUUUAUUUACACCUCGCAGAGACACUGCAAAGGAACUGCCACGAUUUCCCCCGCAUUCAGGCGCAUUUCUGGCCUCGCAACACCUCCGCGCACGCAGAUGCACGCCCCGAAGCUCCCGCGACCGCCUGCCCGCGGGGCGCACCCUAAACUCCUCGCUCCUCUUACCCUGCUGCCGGCUCCGCACUGCCUAUUCCGCCGCCGCCUGCAGGACUUUGGGGUGGGACUCUGACUUCUCCCGGCUGUUUGCCCCCUGGUUUGUAGCCCAUCCCUCUCUCUCACGCGCGCUCUCUCCACCUCUCCCUCCCAGCCAGUGAGGUCCUGUUCUCCGUGGGCCAUAGACAAAACAUUCCUAUAAUCCGAUUUCAAAGGAAAGAGUGUCCACCUUAUUUAAACCAUAAAACAAUUAAGCCCAGACGUCUAGCCAGCUCCGCGCUGCUGUUUUGUUCGGCCCCAUUCAGAAUCCAGCGCAGGGAGACAAACAGCGCCAUAAAAGUGGCAUUUCGGGGCCGCGGAAAUGUACCUAUCCUCUGCCUUCCCAAGUGGAACAUCCUUUAGGGUUUUGUGAUUCUGACAAAGGAGCAGAGGAGAGAUGGGAGGGGAAGAUUAGGGCAGGGGAGCGUUUCCUAGCCCCUCUCCCCCCCACCCCAGCGUUCGUUUCUUUCCCCAGAUGUGUGCUGUGUUGUUGUGGUUUGAAUUCACAAAUUGCAAAAAAUAAAAAUCGAAUCCA